rnacentral:rRNA from 1 species
CGUUGUCCGGAUUUAUUGGGCGUAAAGAGCUCGUAGGUGGUUCGGUAAGUCGGGUGUUAAACCCCCAGGCUCAACCUGGGGACGCCACUCGAUACUGCUGUGACUAGAGUCCGGUAGGGGAGCGUGGAAUUCCUGGUGUAGCGGUGAAAUGCGCAGAUAUCAGGAGGAACACCAGCGGCGAAGGCGGCGCUCUGGGCCGGUACUGACACUGAGGAGCGAAAGCGUGGGUAGCAAACAGG